rnacentral:ncRNA from 1 species
GGGAAUCCGGUGCGAAUCCGGAACUGUCCCGCAACGGUGUACCCAUGCCUUUUUAUGCGUGCAUGGGAGUCAGUCCGAGGACC